rnacentral:rRNA from 4 species
GGUUAAGCGACUAAGCGUACACGGUGGAUGCCCUGGCAGUCAGAGGCGAUGAAGGACGUGCUAAUCUGCGAUAAGCGUCGGUAAGGUGAUAUGAACCGUUAUAACCGGCGAUUUCCGAAUGGGGAAACCCAGUGUGUUUCGACACACUAUCAUUAACUGAAUCCAUAGGUUAAUGAGGCGAACCGGGGGAACUGAAACAUCUAAGUACCCCGAGGAAAAGAAAUCAACCGAGAUUCCCCCAGUAGCGGCGAGCGAACGGGGAGCAGCCCAGAGCCUGAAUCAGUGUGUGUGUUAGUGGAAGCGUCUGGAAAGGCGCGCGAUACAGGGUGACAGCCCCGUACACAAAAAUGCACAUGCUGUGAGCUCGAUGAGUAGGGCGGGACACGUGGUAUCCUGUCUGAAUAUGGGGGGACCAUCCUCCAAGGCUAAAUACUCCUGACUGACCGAUAGUGAACCAGUACCGUGAGGGAAAGGCGAAAAGAACCCCGGCGAGGGGAGUGAAAAAGAACCUGAAACCGUGUACGUACAAGCAGUGGGAGCACAGAGCAAUCUGUGUGACUGCGUACCUUUUGUAUAAUGGGUCAGCGACUUAUAUUCUGUAGCAAGGUUAACCGAAUAGGGGAGCCGAAGGGAAACCGAGUCUUAACUGGGCGUUAAGUUGCAGGGUAUAGACCCGAAACCCGGUGAUCUAGCCAUGGGCAGGUUGAAGGUUGGGUAACACUAACUGGAGGACCGAACCGACUAAUGUUGAAAAAUUAGCGGAUGACUUGUGGCUGGGGGUGAAAGGCCAAUCAAACCGGGAGAUAGCUGGUUCUCCCCGAAAGCUAUUUAGGUAGCGCCUCGUGAAUUCAUCUCCGGGGGUAGAGCACUGUUUCGGCAAGGGGGUCAUCCCGACUUACCAACCCGAUGCAAACUGCGAAUACCGGAGAAUGUUAUCACGGGAGACACACGGCGGGUGCUAACGUCCGUCGUGAAGAGGGAAACAACCCAGACCGCCAGCUAAGGUCCCAAAGUCAUGGUUAAGUGGGAAACGAUGUGGGAAGGCCCAGACAGCCAGGAUGUUGGCUUAGAAGCAGCCAUCAUUUAAAGAAAGCGUAAUAGCUCACUGGUCGAGUCGGCCUGCGCGGAAGAUGUAACGGGGCUAAACCAUGCACCGAAGCUGCGGCAGCGACGCUUAUGCGUUGUUGGGUAGGGGAGCGUUCUGUAAGCCUGUGAAGGUGUGCUGUGAGGCAUGCUGGAGGUAUCAGAAGUGCGAAUGCUGACAUAAGUAACGAUAAAGCGGGUGAAAAGCCCGCUCGCCGGAAGACCAAGGGUUCCUGUCCAACGUUAAUCGGGGCAGGGUGAGUCGACCCCUAAGGCGAGGCCGAAAGGCGUAGUCGAUGGGAAACAGGUUAAUAUUCCUGUACUUGGUGUUACUGCGAAGGGGGGACGGAGAAGGCUAUGUUGGCCGGGCGACGGUUGUCCCGGUUUAAGCGUGUAGGCUGGUUUUCCAGGCAAAUCCGGAAAAUCAAGGCUGAGGCGUGAUGACGAGGCACUACGGUGCUGAAGCAACAAAUGCCCUGCUUCCAGGAAAAGCCUCUAAGCAUCAGGUAACAUCAAAUCGUACCCCAAACCGACACAGGUGGUCAGGUAGAGAAUACCAAGGCGCUUGAGAGAACUCGGGUGAAGGAACUAGGCAAAAUGGUGCCGUAACUUCGGGAGAAGGCACGCUGAUAUGUAGGUGAGGUCCCUCGCGGAUGGAGCUGAAAUCAGUCGAAGAUACCAGCUGGCUGCAACUGUUUAUUAAAAACACAGCACUGUGCAAACACGAAAGUGGACGUAUACGGUGUGACGCCUGCCCGGUGCCGGAAGGUUAAUUGAUGGGGUUAGCGGUAACGCGAAGCUCUUGAUCGAAGCCCCGGUAAACGGCGGCCGUAACUAUAACGGUCCUAAGGUAGCGAAAUUCCUUGUCGGGUAAGUUCCGACCUGCACGAAUGGCGUAAUGAUGGCCAGGCUGUCUCCACCCGAGACUCAGUGAAAUUGAACUCGCUGUGAAGAUGCAGUGUACCCGCGGCAAGACGGAAAGACCCCGUGAACCUUUACUAUAGCUUGACACUGAACAUUGAGCCUUGAUGUGUAGGAUAGGUGGGAGGCUUUGAAGUGUGGACGCCAGUCUGCAUGGAGCCGGCCUUGAAAUACCACCCUUUAAUGUUUGAUGUUCUAACGUUGGCCCCUGAUCGGGGUUGCGGACAGUGUCUGGUGGGUAGUUUGACUGGGGCGGUCUCCUCCUAAAGAGUAACGGAGGAGCACGAAGGUUGGCUAAUCCUGGUCGGACAUCAGGAGGUUAGUGCAAUGGCAUAAGCCAGCUUGACUGCGAGCGUGACGGCGCGAGCAGGUGCGAAAGCAGGUCAUAGUGAUCCGGUGGUUCUGAAUGGAAGGGCCAUCGCUCAACGGAUAAAAGGUACUCCGGGGAUAACAGGCUGAUACCGCCCAAGAGUUCAUAUCGACGGCGGUGUUUGGCACCUCGAUGUCGGCUCAUCACAUCCUGGGGCUGAAGUAGGUCCCAAGGGUAUGGCUGUUCGCCAUUUAAAGUGGUACGCGAGCUGGGUUUAGAACGUCGUGAGACAGUUCGGUCCCUAUCUGCCGUGGGCGCUGGAGAACUGAGGGGGGCUGCUCCUAGUACGAGAGGACCGGAGUGGACGCAUCACUGGUGUUCGGGUUGUCAUGCCAAUGGCACUGCCCGGUAGCUAAAUGCGGAAGAGAUAAGUGCUGAAAGCAUCUAAGCACGAAACUUGCCCCGAGAUGAGUUCUCCCUGACUCCUUGAGAGUCCUGAAGGAACGUUGAAGACGACGACGUUGAUAGGCCGGGUGUGUAAGCGCAGCGAUGCGUUGAGCUAACCGGUACUAAUGAACCGUGAGGCUUAACCUU